GCUUUAUAUAUUAUUUAAAUUCAGUUAAUUUAAAUUAAUAAAAGCUAAGUUUAACUAUUUUAUUCCAUUGGGGCGAUGUGAGUAUAAUUAAAAAUAACUGCUUAAGUAUAAUACAGUUAUAGUUGAAUUAAAUUAAUAAGAUCCUAAUUAAAGAUUGAAAGGCUAAGUU
rnacentral:rRNA from 1 species